UAGAAAAGGAAUAAAGAGGUUUGGGCAGU
rnacentral:piRNA from 1 species